GGCCUCGUAGCUCAGCUGGUAGAGCAUGCACGUACAAAGCGUAGGCGGUGUCCAUGCGUAGGUUCGAAUCCCACCGAGGCUA
rfam:Echinostoma caproni strain Egypt genome assembly, scaffold: ECPE_scaffold0004318